CUCACACACGGCCAGCUCACACACGGCCAGCUCACACACGGCUCGCUCAGCAGCAGCACCCUUUGGGGAAGCCCUCUUCCAGCCCACACCUCAUGGCCAGCAUCCCUCCACUCCCUCUCCACGCCUCCACUCCUGCUACCUCUGAGGUUGAAGCUUCGGCUUCCCCCUAAGUGGACACUGAUGGGUGUGUGUGUGUGUAGUCCCUACUCAUGCCUCAUGGUCCCAUCAAGAACCUGACAUAGACGUGGAUGCCAAGCUGCAAGCCACAGCUCAGAUAUUCAAAGACGUAGCACAGACAGCAAAGCUGGAGUACACGAGCCCCACGUAAGCCUCCUGAUACCAGGCAAGAAGCUACAGGAGUUUGCUCUGCUGGGUUUCAGUCUUGCUUUAAUCCAGUAUUUCCUCACUAGACCUCCAUCUCUCCAUUUUUGGAAUGACAGGAAGCUGAGAGUGAGAUACAGGAAGUAGAGAGGGAUCCAUCUUCAGGAAGCUACUUUCUCCAGGUGCAGGAUCUGAGAGGCAUCCAGCUGUUUCUGAUCACAAGUCUGCGUCAGCCCCGUCAGCAUCCUUCUGUUUGGGAGAUGGCAACAGAUGAAUGGAAUGCGGAGGAUGGACAUGAGAAGAUGUCCCACUUGCAGAGCAAUUGCUGGAGGUCACUGAGACAGGAGAGUGGAAUUUUAUCUCUGUUAAAUCCCCCAAGCUUAGAGAGAAGACUUCAUUCUCUUUGCAGAAUUUAUUUUGCUAAUCCUGCCUUCUCCAGCCACACAACUCUACGACAAUAGUAAUAAAAGUCAGAUGGUGG